UACGAAGGGUGCAAGCGUUACUCGGAAUUACUGGGCGUAAAGCGUGCGUAGGUGGUGAGUUAAGUCUGAUGUGAAAUCCCCGGGCUCAACCUGGGAAUGGCAUUGGAUACUGGCUCGCUAGAGUGCGGUAGAGGGUGGUGGAAUUCCCGGUGUAGCAGUGAAAUGCGUAGAGAUGUGGAGGAAUACCGAUGGCGAAGGCAGCCCCCUGGUCAGAUACUGACGCUGAGGCACGAAAGCGUGGGGAGCAAACAGG
rnacentral:rRNA from 1 species